AUCCUUUUGCAGUUCAUGAGCAUGAUGAUUGGAUUUUCAUGCACUGCAUGAGAUGUGCCUCCUACAAAUCCAAAUCUUCUUAGGAAGGUUGACCAGUUCUCCAUUUAUA